rnacentral:rRNA from 1 species
UACGUAGGUGACAAGCGUUGUCCGGAUUUACUGGGCGUAAAGCGUGCGUAGGCGGUUCUCCAAGUCCGUUGUGAAAGCCCCGGGGCUCAACCUGGGAAUGGCAGUGGAAACUAGGGGACUGGAAUCUGGGCAGAGGGGGGUGGAAUGCCGCGGUGUAGCAGUGAAAUGCGUAGAGAUGCGGCGGAACACCGAUGGCGAAGCAGCCCCCUGGGCCGA